rnacentral:rRNA from 1 species
UACGAAGGGGGCUAGCGUUGCUCGGAAUCACUGGGCGUAAAGCGCACGUAGGCGGAUCUUUAAGUCAGGGGUGAAAUCCUGGAGCUCAACUCCAGAACUGCCUUCGAUACUGGGAGUCUCGAGUCCGGGAGAGGUGAGUGGAACUGCGAGUGUAGAGGUGAAAUUCGUAGAUAUUCGCAAGAACACCAGUGGCGAAGGCGGCUCACUGGCCCGGUACUGACGCUGAGGUGCGAAAGCGUGGGGAGCAAACAGG